GACGGGUCUUGUUUUUUCUGGUGGGUUGAGGGAUCGGAUCCGGAUCUUGAAACAAUUGAAUUCAUGAAGAAGAAAGAAAAAAACACGGAUCAAUUUACUCAAUGCUAAAAUUGAAAGAGAUUGAAAAAAUUGUUUUUACCACAACAAAAAAGAAUUUAGCUGAUAACAGUAUCACAAGCAGUCCCUCGAGGAAUGUAAAGUUGGUUAGCUGGAGGAAACCUGAUUUGGGAUAGUACAAGUUGAAUAUUGAUGGUGGGUGUAAGUCUUUUACCGGUGUGUCUGCUUGUGGGGGUGUUGUACGGGAUUGAAAUGGAGAAUGGGUUGUUGGGUUUUCUAAACUCCUCGACUCAUGUUUAAUAUGGAAGCGGAGAUGUGAGGUGUGGUUGAAGGACUCAUGCUUGCUUGGAGGAGUGGACAGCAACAACUGAUUCUCGAAGUGGACAAUAUUGAUAUUGUCAACUUUUUGACCAACAAUGUUAAAGAUGGGGAUAUCAAUUUAAUUCGAAAGGCUCGGGAUAAUUUGAAGGAGUAGAAUGUAGUUAUCAAACAUGUUUACAGAGAGGGUAAUAAACUUGUUGAUGACUUAACAUCGAUGGCUUGGGGACAAACAUUGCAAAGUGUUUUCUAUUUUAUUUUUCCAGUUGCGCUUUUUGAUCAACUUGGUACUGAAGCUAUUGAUAUUAUAACAUCAAGAAUUAUAUUCGUUUAAUUUAUAUGUUUUUUCUUCUAUGAUAAAAUAAAUAGCAAAA